UACAGAGGGGGCAAGCGUUGUCCGGAUUUAUUGGGCGUAAAGAGCUCGUAGGCGGCUCGUUGCGUCGGCUGUGAAAACCCGCAGCUCAACUGUGGGCUUGCAGCUGAUACGGGCGGGCUGGAGUUCGGUAGGGGAGACUGGAAUUCCUGGUGUAGCGGUGAAAUGCGCAGAUAUCAGGAGGAACACCGGUGGCGAAGGCGGGUCUCUGGGCCGAUACUGACGCUGAGGAGCGAAAGCGUGGGGAGCGAACAGG
rnacentral:rRNA from 1 species